UGCUUGUCUAGAGGGCUGGAAGAACACACUCCCACCCCCUGGUGGUUCUUUCCACAUAGCCCUGGGCGGGUACCAGCCUUCCUCCCUCCCCUCCACUGCCUCCGCCCACUGAACAUCAGAACAUCACAACAACAACAAGCACGGAGAGUUACUAUAACUGCGCAAGCAGCAUCUUGGAGGAAACAAAGCUUGUUUGGGGGUGGAGAAAGUGGGCUUCCUGUUACUGCACCCCCUUUUCCACCUUUGAUGUACACCUGUGGUGCACUGCCACCAGCAACCCCAACCCCAGGACAGCUCUGCCUGACUGGUGCUAGACUGGUGCUUUGCAGUGCUGCGCUGGAUGUGGGCUGAAACUGGAUCCUGAAAAGAUUCACAGCUACUUUCAGUGAUGGAAAACUCUUAGUUAAAACCUAUCCAUACAUUGAAAAGGCCAGGAAAAUACACCCAUGUCCUACUGCCUCGCCCAGCAUUCCCCAAUGUGAGGCCCUUCAGAUGUUUUGGACUACAGCUGCCAUCAACCCCAGCCUACACAGUUGUGGAGGGCACCACGUUGGAGAAGGUUGUUCUAGUCAACCUAGAUUGGAGCAUGGCGAAAUGGUACUAAGAUACGGGAAUGGAAAGUGACACAAAAGUUGCUUUGUCCAGUCUAAAGAAAGAAAAUAAAUGGUAGUGGCAGUGGUAAUGUAAGGGCUCCUUAUCAAGGGGAAGGGCUGUAGCUCAGUGGUGGAGCAUCUGCCAGCAAACAGAAGACCCCAGGUUCAACCCCAGGCAUCUCCAGGUAAGUCUGGAAGUGUGUCCUGCCUGAAACCCUGGAGAGCUGCUGCCAUUCAGUACAGACAAUACUGAAUUAGAUGGAGCAAUUAUCUGACUCAGCAUAAGGCAGUUUCCUAUGCUCUUACCAGCAUUUUAUUAUCUCAAGUAACAGUAGGUUUACAGUCAUGCUGUUUGUGAUCAUUCUUUUCUCUCCAUAUGUGUGUAGUGAUCCACCCUUAUUAUAGACCACUUCAGACAAUACGCAUUGGCCUAGCAUUGACUUCUGUGAAAAUGUAGGUCUAGAAAUACGUAUGUAUAUCAAAGGUAGGUUGUAAUGCUACCCCAGAUUCAUUUUGUGGAAGGCCCUCAUCUAAAUGCAUUGGAUGACAUCCAACACUAGUUAUCCUUAGAGCCAUCCCGCUGAAAUCAAAGGACUUAGGCCGAUUGAUUGCAAUGGGUCUGCUCCGAGUAUGACUAAUGUUGGAUAUCAUGAGUGCAUAGAAGCAGUAACUUCCUAUUACAUGCAUGGAUCCACAUGAGAAACUGUUUAUUUGCCUAGUCCUGCCGGAGAGAAUUUUAUCUCUGAUUCUCCAUUUUUCUGAUUGAUGAUACCACCAGAAAAAAAAUAUAUUGGGCAGGAGGCAGAGGGACAGAAGGAUGCCUUUGGGCAAGGAGCUGGGAGAGGGCAUUUGUUCCACAGGUUGGAGUUCUGAAAGAGAAAUACUCCCAUCCUAAACAUGAUUUCUCCCAAGCCCAUUUUGUUUGAUGGAGUUAAUACUCAAGUCAAGUUCAUUCAGACUGCAACAUUGUUUUUAUUUCAAAUGUGUAAUUCUGCUGUAAUGUGUAUAUGAAAAGUUUUCACCACAUGUAAUCACAGGGGUCCAGCAAUGGUGGGGGGAAGCUACUAAUCUUGGGGCUUGCCCACCCCUCCUUUCUCCUUGGUGCUACCGAUUAGGCAAGGAAGUGGUCUCCCUACCACUGGGCGAGCAAUGCAGACAACCAGCUUACCAAAAUUCACAUCUCUGCGAUGGUACAAGGAGUGGGGAAGAAAUUCACCACCAUCCACAUUUCAAGCCAAAUUUGCCAAAUUCGCAUUUUCUGAAACAAUGUGUGAACCGAAACUCAGCCAUCUUUUGAAAUUUGCACUUCUCUGAAUUUUGCAAUGCAGCUCUCUGGCCAAGUAGUAUGUGCAAAUAUGUAUACUCUAGGGUAAAGUGUCCAUAACGUGCAUAUAUUAGUGAAAAUAAUAUGCAAAAAUGCAUUAUAUUAGGGAAUACAUACAAACAUGUUUAUUAGGAAAAAUUCACACUAAAAUGCAGAUGAAUUUUCGUGAGGACUUAAAAGCAAGCUGGUGUGGAAAUGUGAAUAACAAUUUAAGAUUGUAAACCUGACAAACAGAGACUGAAAUUAACGGAUCCGACAAUUCCUACCUUUGUAUCCAGUUUAUCUAAUGUGGUUAGUAAUUUUGGUUUAUUUUAGUUGAUUUUAUUGCUACAGAAUAGCAGUGCCAAACAGUCAAGAGCCUGGAAUUCACAGUGUAAUUCUUGUUCAAGGAUCAUCCCACUGUCUCUGUCUUUGGCCACUUGCCCAGUAAGUGCUCCUUUGACUUUCCACAACCUACCGCAAUCCCAUAUGGUUUGGAUAUCAGUCCAGAAUUACUCUAGGAUAAAUUGUUGUUGUUUUUGUUGUUGAUGAUAACAUUCCUUGAAGAAGAUUAGGAUUUAAAAGUGCCUAACUGGCUGGAUUGUACAAACAAUAAUAGUAAUAACUAUUUUUAUAGCUGCCCUGUGAAUUGGCACCCGUGUUCCACAUGAAGAAGUACAAGAAAAUCUACUAGCAGUACACUAAAACCCAUUUCAAUCCCAUUUAUAGAUAGUUUAAAAGGAGAGUGCUGUAUAUUAGCUGUGCUUGCCUGGGCUUUUUAGUGUGUCUCAUUUCCAAAAGCUUAGGGCAAGCAUUUAUAUUAAUAAACAAAAUGCUGAUAUAAAGAAUUAAAAUUCAAAAUGUGUCUUAAAAGGAAGCAAAAGAAAUAAGCUAGUGAAAUAAUCCCUUGUUCACCCACAUAACAAUAUUCCUCUGUUAAAAGGGUUUUUUAUUCGUGCAUUUCAAAAUUCCUGCCCCAUCUCCCUAAAAAAUAUGCAAGGAGGCUUACAAUAAAAUAUAAAACGGCAGCAUAAUAAAGCCACUAAGUUAAAAUUAAAAGGCAGCAGCAGCAAUCAAAGCCACGUUCUAGAAAAGCUUGCUGAAAUCAAAUUGUAUUUCCUGUCUGCUAAAAACAAACAUCUCCCCAGAUAGGUUAUUGCAUAUGUUAAAUGCCACAACUGAAAAGGCCCUGCCCCAAGUACCAGUUCCAGCAGCAGCAGUCAGCCAAACCAGGCACUGGCCAAGGACCCCAGGGGCUCAGAAGGACCCCUCACUGGCCCAUUACAGUUAUGCUGCCACUCUCCGUCUUGACACUGGAUCUGGUUUUACAGUAGGUGGGCAGCGAUGCCACUUUUGAAUGGGAAUCACAUUCAUCUGUGUAGCUGCUGUGUGUGUGUGUGUGUGUUAGGGGCCCCAUUGACACCACUGUGCUGAGGGCCCCCUGAAGUCUGGUCAGCCCUGCCAUGUACCCUCCCACCAUAUCUGAUGGCAAAUGGACCUGAAGCAGGGCGUUGGAUUGGGGAUGGAAAGAACUGACCAUUUCACUUAUCUCAGUUUCUCAUUUUUCCAAUCUUAAAUUCAGUUCUCCACAUUUGUGCAGCAAUCUGUGAAUUUUUCCCCAAAAAAUCCUCAUGAAAAUUCUUCAGCAUUUUAGCGCAAAUUUCUCCUAACACAUUUUUGUAGGCAGUUUUGACUAACGUACCCAUUUUUACAAGCCGUUUCUCAUAUAAAACAUGUCUGCAUGUUAUUUUCACUCAUACAUCCAUUUUUAUGCACACUUUCUCCUAACACAUGCAUUUUUGUAAACAUUGUUGGGUUGGCAAACUGCAUGGCCAAAUUUGAAUAACAGAUGGCGGAUGGCUUUCUUUUGGUUCGCAUACUGUUUUGGAAAGCGUGAAUUUGAUAGACGGGUUGAAAUGUAAACUGAAACAAAAUUCUUGCUCAUCCCUUCCUCGGAUGUAGAACAAAGUUCCCAAGCAGGCUUAUAUGAAGGAUGCUGUUCUCGAGAUAUUCUUUAUAUCACUUUCAGUACUGUCGUACGCUCAAGUAAUGUCUUCUCGGAAUUGCUACUAAAGCCUGCUACAUUGGCAGAACAGACAUUACCUAGAUUUACUGGAUUUUACCAGGAAUCAAAAGUUAACGCCAGGUGGGGUUUCCUCCUCGGUGGAAACAUUUGAGGAAGUUUGAGGGAAGACAUGGGGAAUGAAUAAGACUAACACAUCUCUGUCAUAUAGAUAUCUAUGCUCAGUAACUCUAUACAACAAAUACUGCACAUCCCACGAUACAGUGCACUACAAAUCUACAUGCAUAUAACAAUCCACAGGUCUGAAAUGUCUAGUGAAAAUCCAUUUAAUGAUUCCAGGUCUACAUCUCCGGAACUGAUUUUUCUUGUAGGAAUCAAAACAUUAGUAAUGAAAUCAGAGUUUUAUCUGGAUCAGCUUCCUAUGUAUAUUUUUAUUUAUAAAUAUGUUUGCAUAUCGCUAUUUUGUUAACCUGUAAACUGCUUUGAUGCUUUUAAAACACAAACAACCAUAGGAUAAAAACGUUUAAAAAUACAAUAAAAACAAAGGUCAACUGUUGCAAAAGGCACCUUAAUUGCCCGCAUAAGCCUGGCAAAACAGAAUGUUUUCAGCAGGCGUUUGAAAGUUAAAACAGAGGACGCCAGCUCAGUCUGUGUUGGCAGAGCACUGAGAACGGAGCCAAUGACACAAGGCUUGAUUUUGUGUCAAUGUUAAAUGAGCUUCGCCAGCUCGGGAUGAUCAGAGCUACUCCUGCAGAUUCUCUGUAGCUGUAUAAUAAAUUUUUUUGUUGUCGCUGCUGCUGUUCUUUUAUUCAGAAAACUUCAUCUAAACCCACACAAACCCUCAAACUGCUUUGAUCUGAAAUACUUUAGUCAGCUUUAUUGCAAUUUUUCAGUUAAUUACAAAUAAGGGGAAACCCCUGUAUGAAUGAAAAAGCAUUUAAGAAUGGGGGAGGGCAAUACAAGGAAGGGAGGAAGAGAAAGGUGGAUUGUGGUGUUUCAGGGACAUCAAAUGAAAGAAAUAAUCUCAGCAUUAUAUUAUUAAUUUGAUACGUUUUAACUGAUGGCCUGUUUUAUGAUGACUUUAAAUGUGAUAAUGUUUAGGUAAUCAAUUGGAGUUAUUGUUGGAUUGUUAUGUCUUGAUUUGAAAUGAUUGUUAUGUUUUCAAAAUGAUUGCUGUUGAUGUAGUGAUUUGUGUUUUUGUGCUGUUGUAAGCCACUUUGAGCAUAUUUAUAUAGAAAGGUAGGGUAAUAAAUUCAAGUAAUAAAUAAUAAUAAAUAACUAAACUCAUUAUUUUAGGAACCUUUAAGGCUGAUGGGCCUGUGUGUUAAAAAAAAGUGAUGUUGCCAAAGUUUGUGAUUUAUUGUCUCAGAAAAACAUGGACUUGUCUAACUUGCAAUUUUCAGCUGCAUUACAAAUAGUCCCUCAUGUCCCUCAGAAGUUAUUUUCUGUCUCCAAAUUAAAACAUGAAUGUACCUCCUUUCCUGGUGCUUUAAGAAUUGCAAUAGCAUUAUCCCAGACACCAGAGAUCCUAGGAAAGGUAGUUUUCAAGAUCACCCGAGUCCUCAGUGCAGGAGUGUAGUUUUCCAGUGAAGAUCUGAGAGGAGCCCCCAGGUGCAGGGACAUUGGGGGUGGUCCUUGAAUGUGCAACUCCCCUCCCCACACGCACACUUGUAAGUUAAAAGUGUUUUUACCAAGUCUCUCUACCACCUUCAGGAAUUUGCCUGGGCACUCACGGGUUAAAUGUUUUAUGUGUCCAGGCAAACACCUGAAGAGGGCUGCGUUAAUGGGUAAAAAGCCCAUACAUUUUAAUGGAAAUUCAAUAGUAAUGGAGUACAGCCUUUCCUCACGUUUGGGUCUCCAGAUGUUGCUGGACUACAGUUCCCAUCAUCCUUGACCAUGCUGGCUGGGGCUGAUGGGAGUUGUAGUCCAACAACAUCUGGGAAAGGCUGGUGUAUGACAUGUCAGUGGUCCCAGGCUAUGAUCUGAAGGCACAUGAGGCCAGCACCCUGCUGAAGCUAAGCAGGGUCAGGUCUGGUCAGUGCCUGGAUGGGAGACCGCCUGGGAACCAUACGUAAGUCCCCUUGGGUUUCUAUGAUGAAAAAAAGGUGGGGUAUAAAUGUAAUAAAUGUCUGCAUUCAACUGAGUGCUGGGUUUGGGCUGGAGGGGAUGGGACAGUUCAGAAGGUGCUGGAAGUGGCAAUUUAACUAGAAUUACCGUUACUGCACCCUCAUGAAUGGUAUGUUGACCAGUUUGGUUUUUCUAUAUUAUUUUGCUGGGAAUCUGAAACAGCCACUUUCAGGACAGAAAGUGACCUAGCGUUUGGCUGGUGUAGGGUAGGGUGGACAUGGUAUAAUAUCCCCUAUUUCAAAGCACUAUUUAACAACUGUAAUUGUUGUUCAAAAGGGUGGCUACAGUCCAUUAGCUAUUCCUUAGUACAUAACAACAGUGGACUACCUUCAUUAUGAUGAACUAUUCUGUCUCAGGCUGACUGCACUUCAGUGUUUUCAUAAAGCACUCACUUGGCCUCAUCUCCAGUCUGCAGUAUUACAGCGGGCUACACCAUAAGCCACUCUCUUUCAACCCCAGUCUGCAAUAGGAUGAUGUUGGGUUCAAUCCAGAGAAAAACCACACAGAAGGGGGCUGGUGGGAGUCAACAGAAAGGGGCUAAUAGAAGUCAGUCCCUCAGCUCGCCCCACCUCUGCAAAGCUGCUCCUGAGGAUCAGGAGGCCCUGCUGAACGGAGUAGUAGGUUGUAGUGGUGGUGGUGGGGAGUCUGAGAGGGCUGGGAGGCUCCCUGAAAAUCAGGUGGACCCACCUUCUAAGUGGUGCUCUCCUCCUUUUGAAAGGUGACUGUCCAAUUUUCAGGAAUCUGCCCUUCCCUUCAGUCCUCUGUGCACAUCCCACCCCUUUCAGUAGGGUCCCCAGAUCAAAGGAGAGGCCUUUGAUAGGCUGCCUGGGAAAAGAAAGGGCAGGGAAGUCAGCUUCGACUAGCCUCCUUCCAUUCCUUUUUUCUUUCUGGAUCCAAUCCAUUGACAUUAGGCUAGUCUGCCAGCUUGUCAUAAGCCACUCUCUCUGAGCACCUCCCACCUGCAAUAUGGAGAUAAUUACUAUGGACUGCAUUUGCAUGCAUAGCAUACUUUUAAACAUGUUUACUGAUUGCACAUGAAAUAAAAACUGAAUUAGAGAUAUGUCUUUGCAUCUAACUUUUAUUGGGGAGGGGGGGAGGAAGCUUUUACCUAUUUGGGGAGCACACUGUUGCCCAGUCACAGAUAUAACUUGUUGCUUUUCUCUGUUGUUUCUUAUGAGUGACUUUUACUUUUAUCCCACUGGGUGAAUGGCGGGGAGAUGGUAUCAAAGCUAACUGAUAAGCUCCUCUUUCAGAAAAAAGGAAUUCUGAGUGUGGUCCUUUUUAAGUCUAUGCCUCAGGCACCCCAGAAACUAAAUGCCCCAGGGUCCCUUGUACCUGGGAUGCAGUCCUGAGCAUGCUCCACAACCAAAGUACAAGGAUUUCUGAGAUAUCCACUGUGUACACACCAUAUGUUUAAAGCACAUUCCCCCACCCAAGAAUUCUGGGAACUGUAGUUUACCCCUCAGGGAGCUACAAUUCCCAGCUCCCAUAACAAACUACUGUCUCCAGAUUCUUUGGGGGGAAAUGUGCUUUAAAGGUAUGGCGUGUGUGUCUGCAGAGCACCUGACACCCACACAAAUAAGUUAACUACUCAGGAAAACUGUAUUUCUCAGGGUCUCUGGUGCCUGGAAUUCUGCCCCUAUAGCAUUGAAGGCACCAGGGAAGGGUGAAAUGGAAGCCUCUCAGAGAAGGCUUCAAUGAGCCCUCGACACUAUUGCUGAUGCCACCAGGUAAUUAAGGAGGGAAGGGAGCAGUGGGGGAACAGACGGGCUGGUGGGUUAGAUGGGUGUUCAGGGAUUCAUAGCUCUUAUGAUUUCAUUGGAGUGUAGUGCCAUCUGAAUUUAAGAACUGGGCUUGACAGGGAAAUGAACUAUAAUCCUAUCAUUUUGCAAAUAGCUCCAUUUGCAGAACUUAAUUCUCAGCUAUGCUGAGUUGAGGGACUCUUGCCCAUCACUAAAAAGAAAGGGCUGCCUGGACCUCUAAUUGGAGCUGGCAUCAAGGGCUGGCCUCAUCAGACAUCUGCUGAGGGGCCAUACUCCAGCAGGGGCUCCACCUACAAGAGCACAAUGGAUCUGCUCAUCUUCUUUGGUUUUUUCACCUGCCACUUGCUCUGGCAAUGACAAUGGUGGUGGUGGUGAGGAGAGGAGAUGCCACUGCCUGCUUGCUCAUUGGUUCAUAAGAACAUAAGAAGAGCCUGCUGGAUCAGGCCAGUGGCCCAUCUAGUCCAGCAUCCUGU